rnacentral:rRNA from 1 species
CCUAUGGGGGGCAGCAGGGACGAAUCCUUCGCAAUGCGCGCAAGCGUGACGAGGGGACUCCGAGUGAUGGACCACGCGUUCAUCUUUUCGCCAGACCAAACAUCUGGCGGAAUAAGGGCCGGGCAAUAUCGGUGCCAGCCGCCGCGGUAACACCGAAGGCUCAAGUGGUAUCCACGAAUAUUGGGCUUAAAGAGUCCGUAGCUGGCCUGUUAAGUUCUCUGUGAAAUCUUCCAGCUUAACUGGAAGGCGUGCAGGGGGUACUGACAGGCAUGGGAGUGGGGGAGGUCAGGAGUACUCACGGGGUAGAGGUAAAAUUCUGUAAUCCUGUGAGGACUACCAGUGGCGAAGGCGCCUGACCAAAACAUGUCCGACAGUGAGGGACGAAGGCUAGGAGAACGAAUCGGAUUAGAUACCCCCGUAGUCC